AUUGAACGCUGGCGGCAUGCCUUACACAUGCAAGUCGAACGGUAACAGGUCUUCGGAUGCUGACGAGUGGCGAACGGGUGAGUAAUACAUCGGAACGUGCCCGAGAGUGGGGAUAACGAAGCGAAAGCUUUGCUAAUACCGCAUACGAUCUCAGGAUGAAAGCAGGGGACCGCAAGGCCUUGCGCUCACGGAGCGGCCGAUGGCAGAUUAGGUAGUUGGUGGGAUAAAAGCUUACCAAGCCGACGAUCUGUAGCUGGUCUGAGAGGACGACCAGCCACACUGGGACUGAGACACGGCCCAGACUCCUACGGGAGGCAGCAGUGGGGAAUUUUGGACAAUGGGCGCAAGCCUGAUCCAGCCAUGCCGCGUGCAGGAUGAAGGCCUUCGGG
rnacentral:rRNA from 1 species